rnacentral:rRNA from 1 species
GUCGAGCGGUAGAGAGGAGCUUGCUUCUCUUGAGAGCGGCGGACGGGUGAGUAAUGCCUAGGAAUCUGCCUAGUGGUGGGGGAUAACGUUCGGAAACGGACGCUAAUACCGCAUACGUCCUACGGGAGAAAGCGGGGGACCUUCGGGCCUCGCGCCAUUAGAUGAGCCUAGGUCGGAUUAGCUAGUUGGUGAGGUAAAGGCUCACCAAGGCGACGAUCCGUAACUGGUCUGAGAGGAUGAUCAGUCACACUGGAACUGAGACACGGUCCAGACUCCUACGGGAGGCAGCAGUGGGGAAUAUUGGACAAUGGGGGAAACCCUGAUCCAGCCAUGCCGCGUGUGUGAAGAAGGUCUUCGGAUUGUAAAGCACUUUAAGUUGGGAGGAAGGGUAGUAACUUAAUACGUUGCUACUUUGACGUUACCGACAGAAUAAGCACCGGCUAACUCUGUGCCAGCAGCCGCGGUAAUACAGAGGGUGCAAGCGUUAAUCGGAAUUACUGGGCGUAAAGCGCGCGUAGGUGGUUUGUUAAGUUGGAUGUGAAAGCCCCGGGCUCAACCUGGGAACUGCAUCCAAAACUGGCAAGCUAGAGUACGGUAGAGGGUGGUGGAAUUUCCUGUGUAGCGGUGAAAUGCGUAGAUAUAGGAAGGAACACCAGUGGCGAAGGCGACCACCUGGACUGAUACUGACACUGAGGUGCGAAAGCGUGGGGAGCAAACAGGAUUAGAUACCCUGGUAGUCCACGCCGUAAACGAUGUCAACUAGCCGUUGGGUUCCUUGAGAGCUUAGUGGCGCAGCUAACGCAUUAAGU